UACGGAGGGAGCUAGCGUUAUUCGGAAUUACUGGGCGUAAAGCGUACGUAGGCGGCUUUGUAAGUAAGAGGUGAAAGCCCGGAGCUCAACUCCGGAACUGCCUUUUAGACUGCAUCGCUUGAAUCCAGGAGAGGUGAGUGGAAUUCCGAGUGUAGAGGUGAAAUUCGUAGAUAUCCGCAAGAACACCAGUGGCGAAGGCGGCUCACUGGCCCGAUACUGACGCUGAGGCACGAAAAGCGUGGGGAGCAACAGG
rnacentral:rRNA from 1 species